AUCACUGGUGCUGUUGAAAUGUCAAUCGUGAUUCUGUGUUGCCUAGCCUAGCCCUUGCUUCCCUGGCUUAUGAAGCUGUACACUGGCCACCUCGACAGCACUGAAGAAAGUUUCAGCUAUUCAGCUACCGUUUAAUGUGGUUUUGGUAGAUCGAAGGGAUGCAGGCAUUGUUUCCUCACUAGAUUGGAUUUCAGCAAGAAAAACAUCCCAAUGGUUAUAGUUGCAUGUUGUGUAUUGCAUAUAUGUGUAAGGCGAAGUGGGAAAAGCUGCUGCCAAGGUGGAUGAGUAAGGCUGACCAGCUGUCUGCUGAAUUUGAACAGCCAGACACAGAGAGCCAACAUAGACAUAUGUGGCUGAGGGAGGCUUUAAAGGAACAUUUUAAUAGCCAGCAAUAGAAGAGUUCUCUGCUGAUUUCGUGAAAUAUUGGCUGUCAUGCUGUCAACAUGUUAAGAGGGUGAACCACAGUUAUAAUGCAAAGAGAAAACAGAAGUAAACAGUAAACAUUUAUGUCCAUGUAUGAGAGCAAUCUGUUGUGGCUACAUAGAAAUCCACUGAUCUGUGUUUUUUAUAGGUUAGUAUAUGUGUAGCUAUGGUUCUCCUUGUUUCUCCCCAGUGUGGAGUAGGAAUGGUAAAAAUGUACACUGCAGUUCCACGUGAAAUGUUGGGGAAUGUAGGGAGCAGCAACCAUGGAGUUCUCCAAGGACUGCAAAGGCUGCUGAGUCUGGGAACUUUGUAGCAGUAGAUCAGCCCUGGUGUGCAACAUUUGAAUUUACUACCUCAGCAAACCUAUAGUGUCCUGGUGCAUUUCACACUGUGCCUGCUAGUCUUUUUCCCGCUGCACCUCCUGGUCUUUUGCCUGUCAUGCAGCUACUGCUGUCUCCAUUCUCUGUCUUUCUUCAUGGUCACUUUCUGAAGGGCCCUCCAAGCCAUUUGAUCAUGUACAAGGAAACUGUGGCUUAUAGAAUCAUAGACUUGUAGGACUGGAAGAGACCUCUAGAGGUCUUCUAGUCCAGUCCCCUUCACUCAAGGCUUGAAGAAUUUUACAGAACAUAUCCACCUUAGUCCUCUUCCUUCUCCUCCUGAUCAGGGUCUGACAUAAGAAUGGUCGUACUGGAUCAGAUCAAUGGUCCAUCUAGCCCAGCAUCCUAUCUUCCCAACAGUGGCCAAUUCCAGGUGCUUCCAAGGGAAUGAACAAAACAGGCAAUCAUCAAGUGAUCCAUCCCCCGUUGUUCCGUCCCAGCAUCUGGCAGUCAGAGGCCCAGAACACUCAGAGUAUGGGACUGCACCCCAACCAUCUUGGCUAAUAGCCAUGAUGGACCUAUCCUCCAUGAACUUAUCUAAUUUUUUUGAAACCCGUUAGUUUUGUCCUUCAUAACAUUCCCUAGCAAUGAGUUCUACAGGUUGACUGCUCAUUGUGUGAAGAAGUACUUCCUUCUGUUCGUUUUCAAUCUGCUGCUUAUUAAUUUCAUUUGGUGACAUUCAGCGGGCAUGGAGGGGGACCCCUUAAGGUCCACUACACCAGAAGCUGCAGAUAUAAACAGACAGCAUUAGAUUUACAGUCACAAUGGAAAAGUCUCAAAACUCCUUUAUAUUAUUCCAACAAAUACCCUGAAUAAGAAAGGCUUAUUGACACUUCAGCUUUGGAGCACCUCUCUACAGCACCUGCCUUUAGCUCAAACCAUGCAGGUUCAUCUGUGCUUACUUGCUGUGAUUGUCUAGACUCACAUGGAGUUUCAAACAGUUUCUGGCUUGCAACAUGGUUGGAGUCUCCCACUGGGUCUCCCUCCUCAUCCUUCUACCUAUUCAUGACAGGGGUCACCAUCUCAGGCUUCUCCAAGCAUGGCUUGUAUCUGGACAUUGUUGGAUUGAGGACUUUGCCAUAGAGGACUGUGAUCGAUCCCCCUUCUGCCUCAGUGCUAGAGUAUGCUGCUUUAAUUUGCAGAGGAAUACAGAUGAGCAGCUGUACAAGUUGAGAUGACACUUGAUUUUUGAGUGAAAGUGUAUUAUAGUGGUGUGGCAGCAUCCUUACAGAUGUAUUGCAGGCAUACAGGAACAUAUAAAAUGUAUGGACAGGUAUCAAGAAGCAAUAUGCAACUGUGACAAGUUGAAUAAUACAUUUAUCUCCUUAUGAGACCCAGUCACAACACAGAAAGAGGAGGAGGAGGAAGAGAGAGAAAGAGAAAACUAAAAACCCUGAAGGAUGGUUCUCAAAAAUUCGAAAGGAACCACAGGGAAUUCCUUUUAAGAGCAACAGAAAGCGAGCCAGCUGAGAUUUCAGAAUUGCCAUCCUCCCUGCCAACAUGUCAUGAACAAGAAAAAAAAGACUGCAUGAAAAUCUAAUGGGUGUCUGGUCUGAUUGUCCUCACUCGUGGCAGGAAAGACAAAAACUGAUGAAUUGUGAAAUGUAUUCAGAGGGAUUCAAGAAAAGCAAGUGUCUAGGACCCCCCUCCUCACCAACACCUCCUUGUUUUCAUCUUGUUAUGCUUGAUGCACCAUACAUGCUUGCCCUGACACUUGGGUUUGUAGAAAUUUAAGAUUAACAGUUUUUACAUUCACCCCGCUGAUUCCCCCCCCCCAUUUUAAAGUCAUCAUUAAAAAUAAAGUUUGCAGGGCUUAUAUUUAGCACUAUUUCCCACUCAUAUUGCUGACAUUUCAGCACCUUCAAAUUGGUUUCAAACAUGUAAAAUGUUUCAGUUGCAAACAGACAAUUCUGUUUGUUUCUAUAUUUCUUUGUCCAGCUGUGGAUUUUGUGCAUAUUAGAGAGAAAUCAUUAAGCAGGCCUCAUAUGUAAUAAAGAAAAUAACGAAUGCUGGGUAAUUUAUUAGGGGUUUGGAUUAGUAAGGAGUAAAAGUAUGGUAAAUAGCAAUACUGACCUUCUCUUUUCCUUCAUCAGGCAGUUUAUCGAUUGACUUACUAAAAAUUAUGUAAAGUAUUUUAAAACAAAAAUAUCUGAUUGUUUUCAGUUUUGAAAAUAUUUGCUUCCUGAAAUAAACAGGCAGAAAUGUGAUUAUUAGUACAAUAGAGAGGACAAAGUAACAGUCUGCUUUUGCCAAAACAAAUAUUAAACUAAAUAUUUCUGGGUGUGCAAUAUAUAUGUUUAUGUGUACAUUAUAUAUGUGCACAAAUGCACACUGCAUGUGUGUGUGUCAUGUUUGUGCAUAUAUAUAAUGCAUACAAAUAUAAAGAGUAUUAGGAGAGAGAAAGUGUAACUUAAAUGUAUUUACAGAGGUUUUGUUUUAGGGCUAGAUCAAUCUUAGCACAGUAUAUUUUUUCCUGACUGCCUACAAAUUCAGGCUCAGCAGCAGGAACUCAUUUCAGAAACAUAAAACUGAUUUGAUAAGCAGCUGCAAUAUUCAGUUCCUUUUUACUAACGGGUGGACAACCCCAGGAUUUUGAGUGCACAGAUCAGUACUGUUUUUGUUUCAAAUUUCAGAUGUUGUGGCUCAGCCUUUUGAGAAACAUGCAAAAAAUAAAUUAAAAUAACAAACAACACUAGAACAUUAUAAACUUUUGGGAACAUUUUUUAGGAAUUUAUACCUGUAAGUAUAUUUGCACACUAUGCAUACAUGUAUGUGUAUCUGGAACAGCAAUCUCUGAAGAUAUAUUUCUGUAAAUUAAAAAUAUAUAUAUCUAUAUUCAAAAUUAAACCCAAACUAUAUUGUGGCAUAAUUUUCUCUAAAUAUUGGAUUUUAUACUGCUCAAUUCACGUUUUGAAUUUUUAUUACAUGAUUAAGAAGUGUUGUUCAAAAUAGCAUGCUGUGUGUUUGCAUACACCCCUAUAUGCUUCUGCGUGUGUGUAUGUAUGUUAUUUUAUAUAAAUACACACGUGUGUAAUGUAUUAAGAAAUUAGGUAGGUUUCUUCAUAAUUUAACUUAAAAAAAAAAGUAAAAUUAAAAAGAGUUGAUGAACUGGUAAUACCUAUACACUUCCCUAAUUUUAUUGUGAGCAGAUAUAAUCCUGGAGAAAUACCUUCAAAAUUAUUACUGAAUUUUAUGUCAUGUUUCAGACAUGUAUUUGGUAAAAUAAAAUGUUUUUAAAAACUUGUGCAUAAUUUUAGUUCACAAAGCAAAGAAACUGGAAAGGUGCAGUUCUUUUUAAUUAAAAAAAAUUGUAUGCUGUGUUUGAAAAGAAAUGGUGUAAACAGGAUAAACUGUAAUUUCUUCAUGGUUUAUAAGAUUUGUGAUAAUAAUCAGCCAAACGUUGUAACAUUGUUUGCACCUUGUGUGCCCUUAAGCCAUUGGAUCAUUCAGUUAAUUGUAUAAAUUCCAUAUAUUAUGGGAAAUCAUGAUGUAUCAUUUAUAUUCAGCUUGUCAGGUGUAUAAAUAUUAAAAUAUAUUAGCAAAAAAUGGCUGAUUAUCCCUCAAACAUUUUGUGAUAAAUCUUAUCUUUUUAUGGUUUUGGUGGGAAGGGGCACAAGACUAAAUAUUUUAUGUUAUUUGAAAAUAUUCUUUGAACAACCUAGAUUUAUUAUUAACAUUUUAAACAUUUAUAACUGCCUUAAAAUUGCUGAAGCUUGGUCCACUUUACAGUCCUAUACCAAGGUAAAGUUAUUUUUGUAUGCAAAAUACACAGUUGAUAGAGAUUAUACCAUUUAUCCAGCAUAAUAUGUACAAUUUAUGCACAUUUCAUCUUUAUUUCUAUUUAUAAAAAAUCGGCAAUGUGCACAAAUGUAAUCAUAGGCAUACAAGACCUUGAUGCAAUAAUAUUGAGUGUUAAUUUAUGUGUAAGCAUGCUUUAUAUUAUUCAUGUAUACACUUUGGUUUGUUUAGUAAUAUACACAGACAUACAGUUAUAUGUAUUUACAUAUAUAUGUACACACCAAAUUUCUACUGAAAAUGUAUUUUUAAUUUUAUAUGUGCAUGUCUCUUUCUCUUUGUAAAUAUAUUCCAUAUCGCAUACUGCAUGCUAUUCUAUAUAGCAUGAAUGUGUAAAGACUGUAUAAGGGAAUGUGAGGAGAACACAGUGAUACAUAUUUGUUGAUACAAAUAUAUCUGUUUAAUGAAUAAAUAAAUACAGAGUU